rnacentral:rRNA from 1 species
UACGGAGGGUGCGAGCGUUGUCCGGAAUCACUGGGCGUAAAGGGCGCGUAGGCGGCCUGAUAAGUAGGGGGUGAAAUCCUGCGGCUUAACCGCAGGGCUGCCUUCUAAACUGUCAGGCUCGAGCACAGUAGAGGCAGGUGGAAUUCCCGGUGUAGCGGUGGAAUGCGUAGAGAUCGGGAAGAACAUCAGUGGCGAAGGCGGCCUGCUGGGCUGUUGCUGACACUGAGGCGCGACAGCGUGGGGAGCAAACAGG